rnacentral:lncRNA from 1 species
ACCAGAAUUAAACCGACUCCAGCCUAAUUCUUAUACACACUCAAGUCUCAUAUUAUUUUCCAGAAGACGGGCGUUACACAUUUUUUAGGCUUUUUUUAAUGGUGUAAGACUCUUGAGUAUAUUGCUAUAAAGAUGGCCUUAGAGCAAGUGCAGCGGUGGCACUGCAUUUUGGUCCCAGAAAAAUGUUUUUUUUUAUUAGAUUUAAAAAAAAAGAAAAAUAGAUAACCAUUCGCGGGCCGCCACGUUUCAGAGGGGCCCGCGAAUAGUGAAAUACGAAGGCAGAGGACGUCCCUCUUGGACGUACGUCCCGAUUUUAAUUUUUUUUUUUUUCUUUUUUGGUGGGGGAUUAAGUGGAAGAGCCACUAAUGCACAUGUCCUUAUGGGUUUUCUAAAAAUAACACAUAAUACGUCCUUUAGCGACCUAUAAUUUCUUAUCAGUUGUAUCAGACUAUUGGUAAAAAGUCACCAAGUACAAAAAAAUCAAUUAAUAAUUAAUAUUUC